rnacentral:misc_RNA from 1 species
ACCACACUUGAGGAGAUU